GACGAACGCUGGCGGCGUGCUUAACACAUGCAAGUCGAACGGAAAGGCCCUGCUUUUGUGGGGUGCUCGAGUGGCGAACGGGUGAGUAACACGUGAGUAACCUGCCCUUGACUUUGGGAUAACUUCAGGAAACUGGGGCUAAUACCGGAUAGGAGCUCCUGCUGCAUGGUGGGGGUUGGAAAGUUUCGGCGGUUGGGGAUGGACUCGCGGCUUAUCAGCUUGUUGGUGGGGUAGUGGCUUACCAAGGCUUUGACGGGUAGCCGGCCUGAGAGGGUGACCGGCCACAUGGGGACUGAGAUACGGCCCAGACUCCUACGGGAGGCAGCAGUGGGGAAUAUUGCACAAUGGGCGGAAGCCUGAUGCAGCAACGCCGCGUGCGGGAUGACGGCCUUCGGGUUGUAAACCGCUUUCGCCUGUGACGAAGCGUGAGUGACGGUAAUGGGUAAAGAAGCACCGGCGAACUACGG
rnacentral:rRNA from 1 species